rnacentral:misc_RNA from 1 species
AAAUAAUCCUGAUCAUGCCUAACAAAUCAGAAGCAAGGAAAUUCUUGCCUAGACACAGUCUACUGUGCACCAAAGACACAAGAUGUAUGGUAGGAUCCACCUGUUUUACAUAGAAGACCCACAUGUUUGUGUCUUUGGUCUAGGUGGACAAAGUCAAGGCAGACCAAAUCUAAGCAAGAAAAAUCCUCAUUAGCAAUAUACCCACAUAAACUUUGGAAGUUAGCACUAACCUUAUGCAAGUUAUUCAAAAGGCACAUCUCAACAUGUCAUCCAAAUUGAAAUUAGCAUGGCUCAUCUGUGAGUUACUGUGGAAUUUUAUUCAAGAGUAAGGUGUCCAUUGUCCACACAUAUUCCAUGACACAACUUCUGACAAGCAGGAGGAAAUCUAUGCCAAAUGCUUAUCUUAGUGCAGAUGAUGCUAAGAACAUUAGUAAACAGCUGUCAACAAAGGAAAAGAAUUGUUUUUGGGCCACCACUAACACCCUCUCACUUGAGAACCUUAAUCAGUGUUCUAAUAAGCCAUGACUGCAGGCCAUUUUCCUUAAUCAAUUUCUGCGAGUAAUUCUUUUCCUAAUUAAAGGAGUUUACAUGCCCUUUGCCUUGGUGGUGGAGUAACAAAUUAUUUCCUCCACAAACCACUGAGUCAAA